rnacentral:rRNA from 1 species
GAUGAACGCUGGCGGCGUGCCUAAGGCAUGCAAGUCGAACGGCAGCGGAAAGUAGCUUGCUACUUUGCCGGCGAGCGGCGGACGGGUGAGUAAUGUCUGGGAAACUGCCUGAUGGAGGGGGAUAACUACUGGAAGCGGUAGCUAAUACCGCAUAACGUCGCAAGACCAAAGAGGGGGACCUUCGGGCCUCUUGCCAUCAGAUGUGCCCAGAUGGGAUUAGCUAGUAGGUGGGGUAACGGCUCACCUAGGCGACGGUCCCUAGCUGGUCUGAGAGGAUGACCAGCCACACUGGAACUGAGACACGGUCCAGACUCCUACGGGAGGCAGCAGUGGGGAAUAUUGCACAAUGGGCGCAAGCCUGAUGCAGCCAUGCCGCGUGUAUGAAGAAGGCCUUCGGGUUGUAAAGUACUUUCAGCGGGGAGGAAGGCGAUAAGUUAAUACCUUGCUGUUUUGACGUUACCGACAGAAUAAGCACCGGCUAACUUCGUGCCAGCAGCCGCCGUAA